rnacentral:rRNA from 1 species
CCUACGGGAGGCAGCAGUCGAGAAUCAUUCACAAUGGGGGAAACCCUGAUGGUGCGACGCCGCGUGGGGGAAUGAAGGUCUUCGGAUUGUAAACCCCUGUCAUGUGGGAGCAAAUUAAAAAGAUAGUACCACAAGAGGAAGAGACGGCUAACUCUGUGCCAGCAGCCGCGGUAAUACAGAGGUCUCAAGCGUUGUUCGGAAUCACUGGGCGUAAAGCGUGCGUAGGCUGUUGAGUAAGUCGUGUGUGAAAGGCGCGGGCUCACCCCGCGGACGGCACAUGAUACUGCGAGACUAGAGUAGUGGAGGGGGAACCGGAAUUCUCGGUGUAGCAGUGAAAUGCGUAGAUAUCGAGAGGAACACUCGUGGCGAAGGCGGGUUCCUGGACAUUAACUGACGCUGAGGCACGAAGGCCAGGGGAGCGAAAGGGAUUAGAUACCCCAGUAGUC